GACGAACGCUGGCGGCGUGCUUAACACAUGCAAGUCGAGCGGAAAGGCCCUUUCGGGGUACUCGAGCGGCGAACGGGUGAGUAACACGUGAGUAAUCUGCCCUUGGCUUCGGGAUAACUACCGGAAACGGUGGCUAAUACCGGAUAUGACACCUUCUGGCAUCGGGGGUGUGGAAAGUUUUUUCGGCCAGGGAUGUGCUCGCGGCCUAUCAGCUUGUUGGUGGGGUAAUGGCCUACCAAGGCUUCGACGGGUAGCCGGCCUGAGAGGGUGACCGGCCACACUGGGACUGAGACACGGCCCAGACUCCUACGGGAUGCAGCAGUGGGGAAUAUUGGACAAUGGGCGGAAGCCUGAUCCAGCAACGCCGCGUGAGGGAUGACGGCC
rnacentral:rRNA from 1 species